GACGAACGCUGGCGGCGUGCUUAACACAUGCAAGUCGAACGGAAAGGCCCUGCUUUUGUGGGGUGCUCGAGUGGCGAACGGGUGAGUAACACGUGAGUAACCUGCCCUUGACUUUGGGAUAACUUCAGGAAACUGGGGCUAAUACCAGAUAGGAGCUCCUGCUGCAUGGUGGGGGUUGGAAAGUUUCGGCGGUUGGGGAUGGACUCGCGGCUUAUCAGCUUGUUGGUGGGGUAGUGGCUUACCAAGGCUUUGACGGGUAGCCGGCCUGAGAGGGUGACCGGCCACAUUGGGACUGAGAUACGGCCCAGACUCCUACGGGAGGCAGCAGUGGGGAAUAUUGCACAAUGGGCGGAAGCCUGAUGCAGCAACGCCGCGUGCGGGAUGACGGCCUUCGGGUUGUAAACCGCUUUCGCCUGUGACGAAGCGUGAGUGGCGGUAAUGGGUAAAGAAGCACCGGCUAACUACGUG
rnacentral:rRNA from 1 species